UGGGAAGGCCAAACCAAGGAAUUAUGUCUGACAGAAGGGAAGAAAUGACCACGGUGGCCUUCUCAGACCCUGUAGGAAAGGCCUCUACCCAUCCAGUGAAAGUGUCUACUCAGACUAAGAGGAGGCCUCAUGAGACAGCAGAUGACCAGUUACAGGAGAAUCAUCAGAAAGAGAACAAGAAAGACUGAGAAAUUGGUAGAAGUCUCCAUAAACCCUGCCAUUCCUGAUCCCUGAAGUUAUGACUAGCUAAAGUAUCCUUUGCUGAUGCUCCCAUGUGGCUUUGUGUCUAACAAUGAUCCAUAACCAGGAUGCCCACAGAAUUGGAAUUGGCGCACUUGCUUCAACACUGCAACAGAAUGAAACUCCAGAUGCUCACAGAUGAAACAGCAUUUUGCCAUGUUGUGCAGUCUGGCCUUGGCCUCCUCAGCCUCCCAAAGUGCUGGAAUUACAGGGUUUUGCUCUGUUGCCAGGCUGGAGUGCAAUGGCGUGAUCUCGGCUCACUGCAACAUCUGCCUCCCGGGUUCAAGCAAUUCUCCUGUCUCAGCCUCUCAAGUAGCUGGGAUUACAUGCAUGUGCCACCACACCCAGGUAAUUUUU